GACGGUGGGAGAAAGAAAGAAGAUAAAAUAAAAGUAAAAUAUAAUGAAGUUAUUAAAUUAAAAAAUAAUUAUUAAGAAAAAAAUUUAAAAAAACAAGGAUGGAUAGAACCUCAGGACAAAUGGUGGAAGCAAAGCUAUACAGACAAAAUCUCACACAGAAGCAUACACAUACACACUCACAAAAAGCGGAAAAGGGGAAAAAAUCAUAAAUCUUGCUCUCAAAGUCCACCUCCUCAAUUUGGGAUGACUCGUUGUCUAUUCAGGUAUUCCACAGGUGCAGGUACAUCAAAUUGAUUAUGGAGCUUUAAUCCGCUGCUCCUGAGGCUGCUGGGAGAGAUUUCCCUUUCUCUUCUUUGUUCGCACAGCUCCCGGGCUCAGCUUUGGAUUUGGCCCCGCCUCUGCGUGUAAGUUGCCGGAGGGCGUCUGUUCUUCGCUCAGACAGGAUGAGGUUAAAGGAGCCACUGACUCGGGGGCUCUGGCUCACUCAGGCCGGCGGGGAGGGAGGGGCACGGAGGGCGGGGCGAGCCUGUGGCGGCAGAGGCCAGCGUGACGUUGCACCAGCCUGAGGCCCGCCGUUCGUUCUCCCGGGGGAGUUGUCCCUGGGUCCCAGGACCCUGGCGGUGGCGGGCUGCACAGGCUCCCUGCAAGGGGUGUGUGGAUAGUGACCUGUGCUCGCACACAGGCUUCCUGGUGGUGGCAGCAGCAGCCUUAGCGUCUCAUGCCCGUCUCUGGGGUCCGCGCUGUUAGCCGCGGCUCGCGCCCGUCUCUGGAGCUCCUUUAAGCAGCGCUCUUAAUCCCCUCUCCUUGCGCACCAGGAAACAAAGAGGGAAGAAAAAGUCUCUUGCCUCUUCGGCAGGUCCAGACUUUUCCCCGGACUCCCUCCGGCCAGCCGUGGCGCACUAGCCCCCUUCAGGAUGUGUUCACGCCGCCAACCCCAGUCCUCUCCCUGCGCUCCGACCGUAGCCCGAGCCUCAGCUCGCAGCCCUGCCCGCCCCGGCGGGCGAGCUGACAAGCCUCUUGGGCUGGUGAGUGCCGGUCGGCCCUGAUCCUCCGUGCGGGAAUCUCUCCGCUUUGCCUCCCGCACCCCUGUUGCUGUGCCCUCCUCCGUGGCUCCGAAGCUUCCCCCCUCCGCCACCCGCAGUCUCCGCCUGCGAAGUGGUUCCUAGUGUGUGGAAACCUUUCCUCCUUCACGGCUCCCUCCCACUGGUGCAGGUCCCGUCCCUAUCCUUUUGUCUCUGUUUUUUCUCUUUUUCUUUUGCCCUACCCAGGUACAUGGGGGGAGUUUCUUGCCUUUUGGGAGGUCUGAGGUCUUCUGCCAGCGUUCAGUAGGUGUUCUGUAGGAGUUGCUCCACGUGUAGAUGUAUUUCUGAUGUAUUUGUGGGGAGGAAGGUGAUCUCCGCGUCUUACUCUUCCGCCAUCUUCCCCUCAUCCCCUGCCCUUGAUGGUUGAAUGUAGUUAACCAUGUGUCCUGGGUGGGCCAGAGCUGAGGCUCAAACUGUCCAGAAAGUAGAGUCCGUGCUUCUUCAGGAACCUCUUUAUGGCCCUAAUUUUCAGCUGGGGGCAAACACCCCACCUUUGUCUACAGCUGACACCCAGACGUCUACAGGCCCAUGUGACAUACAUGACGGGGGUGGCAGAUCGAGGUCAGUUUUCAGUGAGCGCUAUCGCCUCCCAAGAAAAAGUGCACCACGGGGACGAGGAGGUUGCGCAAAACACACAGCCCGCCCUCCAGGUCGAGUUUCCAGAGGGUGUGGUACUUAGACCCACCCUCACCAAGACACCCGGCCACACUCAUGGUGCGGCCUGAGGAGCAGAGUAGCUGACUCUGGGACGUGCGGGGGCCCCUCCCCGAGGGACCAUCAGGGUGGUAGGUUCUCUUCUGUCUCUGGAUGUCACUGACUGGGAGAAAACUGCAGGGCCUGACAUGCAGGCAGAGGAAGAUAUGGCCUACCAGGUGGAACACUGGUGGCCCUGCCAGCCCUCCACAGAGGGUGGGUGGCACCUGGCCUCCUGUGCAGGGUGCCCAGAGUCACCCAGGACCGCUGCGUGAGGCCUGAUGUCAGUGUUCGAAUGAUUGCUUUCAGACCAGCGGAGAAGCCAAAGCCUUGGGUGGUUUGUGGGGGGGAAAAAAAAAAAAAGAAAACCACAAUCUAAACUACAAAAAAAAACAACCACCACCCAAGUAGGGAAUGUUCGUCCUAGAGAUCGUAAGAUAGGGGCUUGAAAAUCGCCAGGCCGCACGCAAGCUUCUUGACUUGAAGCCACAGACUUGAGGCGGACGUUCUAGGCAAACCUUCCAGGAAUCUAAUCAGAAUCACACUGAGCACCCGUCAGUCAUUUUUCUGUAAAUGUCUGCCCCUUAAAGACGACGUCUUGCUCGGCUGUGACCUCUCUCAGUGCACCCGUGUCACAGCCGCCCUGGCGAAGCUCCCAGACCCUCACAGCCGUCCCCGGAAUCUCACUGAGGGGCGUGGGGACCUGGGCACACAUCGUGGUGCCCAGAAAUGCCAGCCCCUCCGCGAGAUCCCAGCAGCCACAGGAGGCAGGAAGCCUGUGGGUCUGAGCCCAGGCGCUGGGGGCACGGAGCCUUUGCCCCAGAGGAGAGGGGUGAACAGACUGCAGGCGUGACAGACGCAGGCUGAUAGCUUUUAAGCCGCCCCCCUGCACCUGUUCACGGCUGGUUGGGAGCCCCCUGUGGUACGUUUUAUGCCUGUGAGACAUUCGAACCACAGGAGUCCCUCCCAGCCUGUGCACGACCCUCGCCCUGGCCCCAGUCCCUAAAUACCAGAAAAACCCCACGCCCGUCUUCCCCUGCAACCUCAUUUGGGGACCUGCUUGGGAAGCCUGCCCGCUCUCCCCAGGAAGCCUCCUUGUGUGAGUAAAGAACCUUCUGUACCUUCUUGGCGUGUGUGGGGUUCAUCGUUUAAACCCCUGGGGCCAGCUUCCGACGAGACCCACCCUGGUUCCGCAGGUGCCCCCAGCGUGGCCACAGGGAGCACGGCCUUGGGCUCUGGAUUAACUAAAUGAAGUUCAGCUGUGAGUGGGGACGCAGGUGGGCCCCUCUCCCCACUGGACUGUGCACACAGCUAGGACCGGGGGCCAAGUGUGCCUCAGGAGACAUUUGCAUAAAGCUUUUAAUUAAAGUCACUGGCUGAACAGAGGCUAGUGGGAUGGGGACGCCCCACCCGACAAAGGGAGAGGGAGAGGGCGCUGACCUGGAUGAGGGGGGCCGUGAGGACGGAGAGAAGGGGAUAGUGUCCAGAUGUGUCUUGCAGGGCGUGUUUGCGGAACCCAGCACCUACCCUGAGCAUCGGGAAAGGAGCCUGUGGCCAUCUCCUUAGUCUUAUGCGUGUGGCCCAUAAAUCUUGCCUAUGUCCCUCAGCGGCAUUAUUAGUGGCAAUAUUGCCGUGUCCCUUAGCCUGUUUUGGUGCGUGUGGCAGCUAGAGCCACCCACCGUUACCUGUGAGAUAUGGGCGGAUCCCUCAUGUUAGCAUUUAUGUCAAUAAUGGGGGCAUUUCUAUUUUGAGCCAGAGGACAAGGGAUCUAAUAUCCGACAUCUUGAUCAUUCCUUCAAGAGCUUAGUUCAUUGCACAUGAUCAAUAUUUAAUAUAACUUCCUCAGUUAUUAAAGCUCUGCUUCUUUAAAAACAAUGAUGUGCCCUCUCCUGCCACGGGAUUCAGUGACACCGGAGCCCUGGGAGCCUGUGAUGCUGGUCACUCUGUGGUAAUGAUGGAUUCCCUUCUUCUGCAGGUAUAUUCUUCUCUUUGUAAAACUGCACUUGAUUGGGACAAACGCAUGGAUGAUGUCUUGAAAAAUGACCCAAACUGAGCUUUUGGGAGAGAGUAAGAUCUCAGUAUAACCAAUCUUUGCAAAGAAGAAAGACAGGAAAGUAAUAAGUGACUCAAAAGAACACUAGGGUUGGGGACAGGAAGGACCAAGGGCUCCCCAAAUAAGAGGCUUGUUCGGUUCAAAGUGCUAGUGAUGGGAUCACCUUCCAACGUGGUCCUAGGAGUCACAAUGCUUGGGUUUCAAAUCCUCAUUCUACCUCUGUGACACAGGCACGUGAACUCAAUCCUCAAUACUGCUCCCCCUUCCCUGUGUUCCAGAUGGGGAAACUGAGGCACGGAGAAGUUAACAUAUGCAGAGAACUUAGAAGAUGGCUCAACACGUGGUGAGUCCAAUAUAAAUGGUAGUUACUUGAAAACUGGCAGCUGGCUAAGGGCUACGCACGAGAUGAAUAGGGUUCAUCUCCUAAACUACCAGCAACGGUAGCAAGGUUGCAGGAUACAAGGUUAAUACACAAAAGUCAACCACUUUCCUAUUCACCAGCACAACCUGGGCACUGGGACUUUCAAAAUCACCCCAGUUGAUUCUUAUACACAGCCAAUGUUGGGAACCCCGGCUCCAGGGCAUUCAGGCACCCCUGACCCACCAACCGAGGCCUGAUGAACAGGCGGCUUUACGUGAUCAUAAUAGCAAGUUUGCAUCCUGCUAAGAAAAGUCAGCUAUCUUGCUAUUUCGCCAUCCUAAUCAUCCUAACAUUGGAGUGCGUGGCAUAAUUUGCAAUCUUAAUGAGAACUACUUCCUUAGUCUUAAUUGGAUUCCAAGUUACAUUAAUUCUUUAUAAAAAUCUCUCAAUAUAUUAUGCUUACUAGGCCAGAAAUAUUUUGUUCACGCUGCAUUUUAAACAUGAGAGAGAGAGGGAAAAGAAAAAAGAACAGAGCAGAUAGCUCAUUUAAAAAUACUCUAAAAGGCAAAAGCAGCCCUUCACACACGCCAGCGUGGCAGACGUGGAUUUAGUCCCAGCUCAUGUUGUAGAAACAAGACUUCUUUUUGCAGGAAACGGAAAACAGCAGCCCAGGAAGCAGCGUGACUCGGGGCUCACGACCUGCCCGGCUGGAGACACACCCCUGCCGAGGUCACCUAACCUCUUUGAGCCCCUGUUUCCUCAGGUCAGGAAAGAGAAGAAGCCAGCUCUCACUACCUGUGUGGGGCAGGUGCUGGGCCAGGCCCCUGUGUUUACAACUUAAUGAGAGAAAUUCUAAGAUUUGCUUUAACUCAGGUGAAAUGGAGGCCCAGGCACAUGAAGUGAAUCGUCCAAAAUCACAUAACCAGGAAAGGCAGAGACAGGACUCAAAGCUGGGCACCUCUGAGUGCAAAAUCCUUCUGUCUGCAUCACUCUGGCUUAACAAUUCCAACUGAGAUUAAAAAAAAAAAAAAACCAGUUCAGAUCUGAAGACACCACGCCAAGCGAAAUCAACCAGACUAAAAGGACAAACACUGGGUGACUCCGCUGACACGAGGUGUCCAGAGCAGUCAGAUCACAGAGACAGAAGGUAGGAUGGCGGGUGCCGAGACUGGGCGUGGCAAGAAGGGAAGUUAGUGUUUAACGGGGACACAGUGAAACAUUUCUGGAGAUGGAUGCCCAGGGAUGCGGACACACACGACGCUACUCAGCUGUCCACUUAAAGAUGGCUAGGAUGGUAAAUUUUAUGUUAUGAGUAUUUUACCACAAUAAAAAAAGAUAAACUAUAUUUAAAAAAAACCAUGUGCCGAGAAAUGAGCAAAUAGAGGGACUGAGACCCACUUUAGGGCAUGAAAAGCAGUGGAAUGCCUGAGCCCACGACUGCCUGCCCGGCAGCUGGCUCCUCCCACCGAAGGCUGAGCCCAGGGAUUCGUCCUCCAAGGCGGGAGGGAGAGGAAACCCAGAGCUCCUGAUGUCAGGUGCCUGGUGACCUGGGACAGCUCCUCAGUAACUUUUCCAAACCCCACCAGGAAGCCAACGGCACCAGGUGCCAUGAGACGCGGUAAGAUGCGGCUUUGCUUCAGGCUAAGCCCCUCACCCCGGGGGAGGAUGAUCCAGUGGCCGGGGCAGGUGUGCUGCACCACAUCCUGCAGGGGUUCAUCCACUGGGGGCCCGACUCAGCAACGGCCCCACUCCAGACCUACUGAAUCAGAAGCCCAGGGAGGGACCCCGGCCAUCUGGGCUUUAACAUGCCCCCCAGGUGAGUCUGCCGGCCGCCGGUGUUUGAGGACCAGCUGUGUGUCUCGCUCCCCAUGAGGGAAACACAGUCACUUAUGUACUCACGGAAUCGCCAACAGAGCCUUUAGAAAACAUUAGAAACAGGGAGACAGGAGGGCUGUCAUGACAAAUGUACACUCAGUGUGGACCGGCCUUGGUGACAGUAGCAAACGUUGCCAGAGUGGCCAGGACAGUCAAUGUGGUCAGCGGUUCGAGACAGAGACGGGACUCGUAACGCUGGUGACCGUUCUGAGAAGCCAGGGAGACCAGGGUCUGUCCUCAGAACAGGGCAGAUGAGGGAAGGAAAAGUGGGACCUUGGAAAGGAGGCACUGAGCAGGGUAAGAAGCGUACCGGAGUGAAGACCAGUGAGAUCGCGCAGCACCCAGAUCGUAGGGGGCAGAGAGGCGGGGCGACAGCCGCAACGUUGGGGGUAAGAGUCACAGACCGUUCUUCCCAAGGCCACGCGCUCUUGGUGUCAGACCCUGAGCAACACAGACAGCGAGAAACCCCUCACACAGUCCCGUGUGGGCAGCAGGUGUCCCUGGUGGGCACACCGUCAGCGGCCGAUGCUGUGUGCUGUCGACUGUCCUAUUGUGGCCUCACCCUUCACCCCGGAUCUACUGGAUCUGGAAGCAGAGGGGGGUCACUUUCAUGUCUUUGAGCAGAAUAGUACAAUUCUCAAGGCAGGACUUAUGCUGGUGAGACUUGUGUGUUUGGGACUUGCUGGCCCUCGUCCUCUCGGAAAGGGAUCCUGCAGCAUCUCGGGUUGCACCCCUGCUCACACUGUGACGGACAGGGUGUCAAGGGCUGUCACCUGAGGCCACAUCGGGGAUUAUUGCACCCCUGCUCACACUGUGACGGACAGGGUGUCAAAGGGCUGUCACCUGAGGCCACAUCGGGGAUGACACCUGAGGUGAAGGUCAAUAGGUCAUACCUUAUAAUCCAGAAAAUCCAGUUUCAUGUUGCUCUCUCUUUUUUCUUCUUUCGAGCUUCCUGAGGCUUAGAGAAAGGCUUCUCUGAAGUCCAGCCUGGUCUUAGUCACACUCUGGGGAUAUGAAGAUACAGUCAUCAGUCCCUGCGUGGCUGAAGCCACUGUUUCAUGAACACUGGCGGCCACGGCUCCUGACUUCACACAAGAUCUCAGGAUGAGAAGGGAGGCAACCAAGGUCUCUUCAGGCUAAACUGCAGUCCAGAGCUGGAGAACUGACAUGGUCUUGAGUGAAGAAGGUACAGGUGAACUAGUGAUACUGGUCCACGAGCAAGUCCACUGUUUUAUCAGAAGGGAAUCCUGACCAGUACGGGGACAUGAAGACAACGGUCUGCAUCCGGGCAGGCUCACCCUGCUUCAUACCUAUUUCUCUGGACGGUGGGAAGCGUGCAUCAAGCCCGAGUAGCCACAGGACUCGGGGGACCUGGCCCCAGGGGACCCUCACUCUCACGCUAGGACAUUCGCCGGGACCCUCUGCUUCAGCUCUGUCCCGUAGGUCGGGGCUGAAUGGCAGAAGGAGGGAGCAGCUCCGGCCACAGCCAGGCUCUCGGAAAUGGGGCUCGCCACCUCCACUUGCAGAUUCCCAGGCCAGGCAAGGUCAGGUGCCACAGGGACAGGCCCUGUUUCCUCCGCUCCUGCCUUCCUCUGCUGAGCCUUCUUACCAAGCCCACACGGCAACAUAAUCCUCCUCACAGCACCAGCCUGCCCGGAAGCUUCGGCCCUCAGUGCACCUCGGCUGGAAGACGUGACGGCUCAGAGUGAACGAGGCCAGGCCCCCACGAUGCAGAGCUGACAGGGCAGGGAGGCGGGGAGUGCGCUCAGCUGGGAGCCCAGCCAUGCGGAGGGUUUGCGUGGGGAGCAGAUCAGGGUCAAGGGCAGAACGGAGGUGUCCACCUCCUAGAACCCGGCGCUGAGAACCCGUGGGACUGGUGGAUGCAGGGCAACUUCCUGCCGACGCUUGUCGACCUCCACAGGUGGGUCUUGGCUUCCAAAAGAGACUAGAACUUAGGGAUGAUAAUCUUGUCUCACCCACCGUGCCCUCCACGGAGCUGUGUUGUCACGGAGGCAGCUCAGUUGAGAUUUCCACACUGUAACGUGUUUAGAAUCAAAGCACUGAUUCAGAAGAAAUCCUCCGAAACCUUACGUGGAGCCAGCCCGCCUGCUCCGUUCCUUUGCACAGGUACCCUAACCUCCAGCGCCAGAGGGCCAGUUGGUAUGUGCCCGUUUCCCUCUACUUCUGGGAGAAAAGAAAAGUACUCGAAAGUCUUCAGCGAGGUGAAGCACAAAACCAGAGAGCCGUAAUGAACCUGCUGGCAGGAAGAUUACGGUGGAUAAAGGGGUUUCUCAGACCCAAGGCGGUAAGUAGCAGAGGUGGGGACCAAUUCAUUCUUUCACUUGAGGUGCCUUUGGCCAUUCAGCUGCUGAGUCCAGGAGACUCAGGGUCCCCUCCCACAGUGUAAGGGGUCCUCCUCCCAUCGGCCCAGGGAUGGGAACGGGAUGCGGGGGCCAGGGAGGCGAGGGAAAGGGGACGGGGGUGCACACGAUGCGGCACGGCCAGAAUCCUCCCUCGCCAUCCUCGGAGGCCGGCCCUCCCUCCCUCCGUCCAGCCCCCAAGAGGGCCUCAGGGUCCCAAAGCACAGGUGCAGGUAAGUCUGUGGCUCUCCUCCCCCACCCAGCCCCCAUCCCAGCCCGUCCGGGGGCCACGGCAGCCUCAGCUGGCCGGUCCAGCUUGCUCCAGCCUCGGUUUCUCUUGUACAACAGCCUGGCAGCUCCGAACAGGGAACUUACUUACUGUGCUUCUUGUCACUUCUGUUUUUGAGUCAGCGGCUCCGUGGAGCAGAAGAUGCUGUGGGGAAAAGCUUCCAGGUCAGGGAGGCGCUCACCCACCGGCUGCUCGGUCUGAAGUGACAGCCACCUUCACUGAACACGCAGCUCUGUCCACACAGCCCCCAACCCCCCAUCGAGGUCUCUUAAAGUGUCCUUCGUGCCCAUCAGGCAGCGGUUAGAGAGUAGACGAGGGCUACGUGACACAGCAUCCUGCCUGUGAGGACCCGCCCGCUCAGACCCACGUCUGGACGCAGAACUGACGGCCUGCAGUUGGAGGAGGGCGAUUUAAUACCUGCUCCUUCCAGGCAGGAGUGAGGACCCAGGCCGGGCACCAACACCACCCCGCUCUCCCAGGCUCCAUCAGGGGCACGUUCCAUGCGACACAUCCAGGCGGGAAGCUUCCGAGGUGCACGAGGCAGUGCUGACCCCUUGUGGAAGGUCCCUGCACUUCUCCGUGAACUAGCUUCCCAGCCAGCUGGUUCCUGACAGCACGUGUAGCAGCGGCGCUAAAAUCCACGUAUCGCUGGAUUUGGGUCCACCGACGCUCCCGCUAUGGAGUAGGCAUCAUUCUCACCUUGUUACAGGCGAGGAAACUGAGGCUCAGAAACCGUAUGUGAGUAAGGCCAGCAGGUCCGGGGAAGGGCCCAGGGAGCCGGGCGGAACCCCCGCCAAGGAGGCGGAUGCAACCGACCGGUCUUCCCGCUCCCCGAGGGGCGGAACCCCCGCCAAGGAGGCGGAUGCAGCCGACACCCAACCUUGCCACAACACCCGAAAGGUUACCACAAAAGGGGGCUGCUUCACACAGCAAGCGCCUCCCCUGCGUCCGCUCGAUAAAUUUUGUUGGCGCCCGCACCCGGGCGCGACUUCUCUGGCCCCUUUCUCUCGGACCAGUGAACCUCGCCCGGGAGCGCUCCCAAAUAAAGCUUGUUUAAGCUCUCCUCCGUCUUUGGUGCCCUUCCUUACAUUUGGUGCCGAAACCCGGGAGGGGUACCCAGCCCCACAAAUUACUGCAGGGCCAUCCCUCCCCGGCCCCCCAGGGGACGACUGGCGACCUCUGCUCACCCACCCGAUCCGGCAGAAGCGGGGUAAGUUCCUCCUUCGUUCCCCUCGACCCCCGGGGUCCCUACCCACUGGACUCCCUGUCCUUAACCGCGGCCGCGUCAGGGACUCCUCCAUCCUCCCUCCGAGCCUCGGGCGAUUGUGGAGACGUCCCAACCGCCUGACUGCUCUCCCAGCCGCCGUGACCAGAGAUUGAGACCGGAGACGUCUCUCUCUUUCUCUGUUCACCCGGGGACAGACCGGAGGUCAUGGGGACUUCAGAAUCCAAACCAGAUCCUAAGGCACCCCUGGGGUGUCUCCUGGCCCACUUUUCAAAACUCGGCUUUUCUCAAGAUCUCCGCCGCAGGCGGCUCGUAUUCUAUUCCACCGAGGCCUGGCCACGGUACCCUCUAGAAAAUCAAUCUAAAUGGCCUCCUGAAGGGACUUUCGAUUUCAACAUCCUCCGCGAUUUAGAUAACUACUGCCGCAGGACGGGUGAAUGGUCCGAGGUCGCCUACGCCCAGGCCUUCUGGUAUUUACGCUCCCGCCCUUCCCUCUGCAUCGAUUGUUCCACUUCCCAGAUCCUUCUUGCCAAACAGACAUCUCCUACAUCCAAGCCCCUAAUUUCCUUUGACGAUGACCCCUCUCCACUCGCCGACCCACCCGAAUCUCUCGCCUCUCCCCCGUCCAGAGCUCCUCUCCAACCCCCACCCUACCCUGGACCGGCCCCUCUCCCUCCCGAACCCACUCCAGCACCCCCCCCCUCACCUCUCCCCCGCUUCCUCUCCCUCAGUCUCUCUCCCAUCACCCCUCUCCUCGCCGGUCAGCUCACACACCCACUCUCACCACCACGACUCCCAAAACCCAAACCUUCUCUGUCCCUUAAGAGAGGUGGCCGGAGCGGAAGGAUUAGUUAGGGUUCAUGUUCCCUUUUCCUUCCAAGAUCUCUCUCAAAUAGAAAAGCGAUUAGGCUCCUUUCCUGCCGAGUCCUCCCGCUACAUCAAAGAAUUUCGCUACCUCUCUCAAGCUUAUGAUCUAACCUGGCACGACAUCUAUGUGAUCCUAUCUUCCACUCUGACCCCCCGAGAGGGAAUGAAUUCAAACUGCUGCCCGUAACCACGCAGAUCAGGUCCACCUCACUGAUAACUCUAUGCCCGUCGGAGCCUCUGCCGUGCCUGGCACUGAUCCGGGCUGGAGUUAUCAGAACGGCCAAGACGGUCACCGCAAACGCGAUCUAAUGAUCCAAUGCCCCUUGGCUGGUAUGCAGGCUGCCUCCCACAAGAUUGUCAGCUUCGAAAAGCUAAAAGAGAUAACCCAAGAGCCCAGUGAAAAUCCAGCCGUUUUCCUCAACCACCUUACAGAGGCCCUAACUCUCUACACCCGCUUGGACCCUGACACCCCCGCAGGCGCAACGGUCUUGGCCACCCACUUUACCACCCAAUCAGCCCCUGAUAUCAGAAAAAAAAACGUAAGCGGGCAGAGGACGGCCCCCAGACUCGCAUUCGAGACCUGGUAAAAAAGGCCUUUAAAGUCUACAAUGCCCGUGAAGAUUUGGUAGGGUCCAGCCGGCAGGCCCGGAUGCACCAGGAGGUGGCCCUCCAAGCCCAAGCCCUCGUAGCCGCCCUGCGGCCGGCCAUCUCCCAUGGACAACAUCCACGGGACCCGCCGAAGGCAACCCCACCAGGGGCCUGCUUCAAGUGCGGAAAGGAGGGGCACUGGGCUCGCCAAUGUCCCAAUCCCCGGCCUCCUUCCAAGCCCUGCCCUGGCUGCGGGCUAACAGGCCAUUGGAAGAGUGACUGCCCUACGGCCGGCCCUCCCUCAGCGCCUCCACGCGGAGGGCGAACCGACCCAACGGCUCUACCACUCGAACUCCUGGGAUUGGCUGACGACUGACAUCACCCGGACUCAAAGACCCCCAUCACCCUCGCCGAGCCCAGGGUAACGCUACAGGUAGCGGGUAAGUCCAUCUCAUUCCUGGUGGACACGGGGGCUACUUAUUCGGUCUUGCCUACAUAUUCUGGGCCAGGUUUUCCUUCCCAGAUCUCGGUUAUGGGCAUCAACGGUAAGCCGUCCUUCCCGCUCCAGACCGGCCCCCUCUCAUGUUACAUCGAGAGGCUCCCUUUUACUCAUUCUUUCUUAGUCAUACCUCCUGCCUGGUUCCUCUGCUAGGUCGUGAUGUUCUCUUCCAAUUAGGGGCCUCUCUCCAACUGGCCAGGCUUGAUCCUAAGGCCCCCUCCUCUCAACUCCUGCUCCCCCUCCUCGGUCUGGUAGCGGAACCCUCUCCCUCCUCUCUCCCUCCUCCCAUCUCCCCCAACCUGAUAGACCCCCAGGUCUGGGAUACAUCAAAACCCAUAAUAGUGAUACACCACCCCCCCUGUCCUAAUCCAUCUUAAACACCCCUCCAAGUUUCCAUCCAGGCCCCAAUUCCCCAGCUCUGAGACUCAUCUAAGGGGCUUACAGCCUAUUAUCACCAGACUCUUAGACCAGGGGCUCCUCGUCCCCACGGACUCUCCCUGCAACACCCCCAUCCUGCCUGUCCGCAAGGCCUCAGGAGAUUACCGCCUGGUCCAGGACCUCCGACUGACCAAUGAGGCGAUAAUUCCCCUCCACCCAGUUGUGCCAAACCUGUACACUUUGCUCACCCAUAUUCCCCCGUCCACCACCCAUUUUACGGUCCUCGAUCUCAAAGAUGCCUUCUUUUCUAUCACCCUGCACCCUGAUUCCUACUUCCUUUUUGCUUUCACCUGCACAGAUCCGGACACCCAGGCUUCCCGCCAGCUCACCUGGACGGUUCUUCCCCAGGGCUUCCGCGACAGCCCCACCUCUUUGGCCAGGCUCUGGCGCGGGACCUCGCUUCCUGCCCUCUCACCCCCAGUAUAGUCCUCCAAUACGUGGAUGACCUCCUCCUCUGUAGCCCAUCUCUCAGCCUCUCAAAACAGCACACUGCUGACCUCCUCAAUUAUCUCGGCUCUCGCGGCUAUCGGGUCUCUCCAGCCAAGGCCCAACUGUCUACACGCUCAGUAACCUACCUGGGGAUUCACCUUACCCCCACAAGGAGCCUGACAGCCGACCGCACCCAGGCCAUCCGCGACCUCCAAUCUCCAGAGACAGCUGACCAGAUUCUCUCCUUUCUGGGCCUAACAGGAUUUUUCCGACACUGGAUCCCUAACUUUGCUCUUCUUGCUAAGCUCCUAUAUUUAGCUGCUAAAGAAACCCCCCAAGGACCCCUUACCUCUCCCUCCACUGUUCAACGGGCCUUUCUCACCCUCAGAGACACCCUGCUAUCCUCCCCUCCCCUCUCUCUGCCUAACCCAGACCGUACUUUCCACCUCUUUGCAGAUGAACGGACCGGAAUAGCAACUGGACUCCUUGCCCAACCCGUAGGGCCUUCCUUUCGCCCCGUGGCCUACCUUUCCAGACAACUUGACCCGACCAUUCGGGGACGGCAACCAUGCCUCCGAGCUGACCAAACAAACACUCAAACUGACCCUGGCCCGCCCCUGACUGUAUUCUCCUCCCACCGACUGGCCGACCUCCUAGGCCACAAGUCUCUCUCUCUCUCGGGCCCCUCCUGCAUCCAGGAAUUCCACCUGCUGUUCAUUGAAAACCCUGCUAUCUCCCUCGACCUCUCCCCCCGCCUAAACCCGGCCUCCUUCUUGCCUAUCUCCGAUACCGGGACCUCCCCUUCCCACUCCUGCCCCCAAGUCGUAGAGGCCCUCAGCCCGCCGAGGGAGGGACUCUUUGAUGCUCCACUGUUAAACCCGGACCGCACCCUCUUCGUAGAUGGCAGCUCAAUACUCGGCCCCGACGGACGCCGCCGGGCGGCCUACGCGGUAGUAGCCAUCUCAACCAUUAUCGAGGCCAACCGCCUCCCAGAAGGGACAACCUCUCAAAGGGCUGAACUGAUCGCACUCAUGCGGGCCCUUGACCUCUCUAAGGGCCAAAGGGUCAAUGUCUAUACAGAUUCAAAUACGCCUUCCUGAUCGCACACAGCCGUUCGGCUCUUGGGAGGGAGUGCGGAUUUUUGACCACCAAGGGCUCCCCGGUGGUCAACGCCUCCCUCAUCGCAGAACUCCUGGAUGCCCUCCAGCUGCCUGAGGAGGUGGCAAUCACCCACUGCAGGGGCCACCAGGCUCCCUCUAACCCAACAGCACACGGUAACUCAGAGGCCGGCUCCGUGGCCCGCGAGCUCGCCAAAGAGGCCCCUCCAGCUCCGAUCUUGUUCCUCACCACCUCAAUCCGACCCGCAUACGACCCCCACGAAGAGACGGCCCUACUAUCCAAAGGGGGCCACCAGGCCGAAAAAGGAUGGAUUUUUAUGGACAACAAAGUUGCCCUCCCUUCAGCCCAAGCGGCCAGCCUCCUAGCAGACAUCCACAAGUCCCUACGCAUUGGCCCGAGGGCGAUGUUCCGUUUCCUAGAUCCCCUCUUUUACAUGCCUGGACUCGAGAUGCCAUCUCACAAACUCACGCGGCUUGCCAGACUUGCGCGUCCGUCUCUCCACAAGGAGGCCUACGGCCCCGAAUCCCUACUCACCAGAUGCGCGGACACCAACCUGGCGAGGACCGGCAGACUAACUUCACCCAUGUGCUCCGCCAUAAACGCUUCCGAUAUUUGCUCACUCUCGUUGACACCUUUUCAGGUUGGAUCGAGGCCUUCCCAACGGCCCGAGAAACGGCAGACACGGUCGCCACCAUCCUUCUGCAACGUAUCAUCCCCCGAUUUGGCCUGCCGAUCUCCAUCCAGUCGGACAACGGACCCGCCUUCAUCUCACAGGUGGUUCAACAGGUUUCUCCGCAGCCGUAUACAAGAAGUCUGUCGGGUGGCGGUGAAUCAGAUGCUCCUCCACCCACAUGCCUUACUACCCACAGAACCCCCCGCUGCCGCCCUCCCCUAACCUCCGGACCGCUGGCCGCCCGACUCCCUUCCGGCGCCCCCGUACAGCAGGAAGUAGCCAGAGACCAAACGUCGCCCCAUUACACCAAAGAAGUCGGGACGUAGGGCCAGCAAGUCCGGGGAAGGGCCCAGGGAGCCAGACAGAACCCCCGCCAAGGAGGCGGAUGCAGCCGACCGGUCUUCCCGCUCCCCGAGGGGCGGAGCCAACGGCUCUGAGGCUGAUGCAGCCGACACCCAACCUUGCCACAACACCCGAAAGGUUACCACAAAAGGGGGCUGCUUCACACAGCAAGCGCCUCCCCUGCGUCCACCCUAUAAAUUUUGUUGGCGCCCGCACCCGGGCGCGACUUCUCUGGCCCCUUUCUCUCGGACCAGUGAACCUCGCCCGGGAGCGCUCCCAAAUAAAGCUUGUUUAAGCUCUCCUCCGCUUUUGGUGCCGUUCCUUACAGUGACCUGCCCAGGGCCAUGCAGCCAGCGGAGGGCCGAUGGGCGACCAGAGCUCCGGCCACAGGCAGGGCCCUGCUCCCCGCUCUACCUCCGUGCUGCCCCUCCCCUAACCCCACCCUCUCCUGAUCACUGCAGCGUUACAGUGAGUCUUCAGCAGGAGCGUCAGCCCUCUGUUUCCUCCUUCAACAUCGUGCUGGCCGCUCUUCUCAGACCAGCCCUGGCCCAGCCACACCCUCUCCUGAGCCCAGCCCCCCUGCACCGCACCCUCUGGCCAGGCCAGGCGCCUGCCUGCCCAUCCUCCAGGAAUAGUGGCCGCUGUAUAGACCAGUGCCAGCCCACAGCCUGGCAAAGGGCUUGUUUUGUCUGAGUCUGGUUUCCCCCCAGCAGACUGCGGGUUCCUGCGGGACCGCCGUGUGGGAGGGGUCCCUGCCCUAAUCCUUCAUUGCCCCCUCUUGCCCAGCCGAGAAGCAGUAGCUGUUCUUUCAUACCUCUUACCUCUGUACUCCUCGGGGUCCUCUUAAGGAAUUAACCACCUGGUAGGACUUCACCUGUUAGGAAUUAACCACCUUGUCUUGUUCUGCUUAAUAAUUCUUUAUAGAAUUCCCUGGUGGUCCAGUGGUUAGGAUGCCACAUUUCCACUGCGGGGGGCACAGGUUCAAUCUCUGGUCGGGGAGCUAAGAUCCCGUAAGCUGCAGGGCCAAAAAAAAAAAAAAAAAAUCUUUAUAUUAAAAUACCCCUGUUCAAAUAACCAGUAAAUUUCUGUCUCCCAAUUGGACACUGACAGGCCCCCCGGCCGAGCUCCAGGCUGGCAAGAGGGGGAGUGUCUCUGGCAGACUCCCCGCC